GGAGAGAUGGCUCAGCGGUUAAGAGCACUGACUGCUCUUCCAGAGGUCCUGAGUUCAAUUCCCGUGUCUUCU
rnacentral:tRNA from 1 species